CACGGGUCGCCCAAGUCGACUGUGAACCUACUAUAGGGUCGGUAAGCAUCACUUAGACCCCUAAUUGUACGAACUGAUUGUUUGCUUUAUAUGUGUUGAGCAUGAUGAUAGUAUGCUUGUAUAUUGAACUGGUUAUAUGUACUGAUGUCCUGAGAUAGUAUGUCAUGACUUGUAUGUUGCAUUGCAUGGGGUUGAGUUAAUUAUAUUUAUAAAAAGUGUACUGAAAGGCUCUUAAGCCUAACAUACUGGCAGCUCAGUUGCAAAUUACUGUUUUGUGUCGCUUCCAGGCUACCUGGAGUGUAGGGAUGAGUGGGUUGAUUUGAUCCCCACAUGGAGUGUAGGUUGGACAGAGAUGGUGUGUAGAGACUGGUUGGGUAGGACUUUGUUACUGAAUACUGCAUGACUGCUACUGAUACUAUGAUGUGCUAAGGCCCUAUUGCAUUCUGAGAUGGGCUAAGGCCUAAAACUGUCACUGAUACUAAAAAGGGCUUAGGC
rnacentral:lncRNA from 1 species